UACAGAGGGGGCAAGCGUUGUUCGGAAUUACUGGGCGUAAAGGCGCGUAGGCGGCCUGCUAAGUCGAACGUGAAAUCCCCGGGCUCAACCCGGGAACGUGCGUCCGAUACUGGUGGGCUCGAAUCCGGGAGAGGGAUGUGGAAUUCCAGGUGUAGCGGUGAAAUUCGUAGAUAUCUGGAGGAACACCGGUGGCGAAGGCGGCAUCCUGGACCGGGAUUGACACUGGAGGCGCGAAAGCCAGGGGAGCAAACGGGAGUUAGAAACC
rnacentral:rRNA from 1 species